CCCUUAGAUGUUCUGGGCCGCACGCGCGCUACACUGAUGAAUUCAACGAGCACUAACCUGUGCCGAAAGGCUCGGGUAAUCUUGUGAAAUUUCAUCGUGAUGGGGAUUGAUUAUUGCAAUUUUUAAUCAUAAACGAGGAAUGCCUAGUAAGCGUGAGUCAUCAGCUCACGUUGAUUACGUCCCUGCCCUUUGUACACACCGCCCGUCGCUCCUACCGAUUGAAUGUGCCAGUGAAAAGUUCGGAUUGGAGAUAGGAGACGGCAACGUAUCCUAUUUCCGAGAAAAUCUUUAAACUUUCCCAUUUAGAGGAAGGAGAAGUCGUAACA
rnacentral:rRNA from 1 species